rnacentral:rRNA from 1 species
UUAAAUUUUUGAAGUUAUCUUAGCUUUUUUGUUGGGUGAAAUCAGUAUAAAGAGUUUCUCUUUCUUUUAAAAUUAAUAGGAAUUAAAAAACUUUGAUUUAAAACCAGGAUUAGAUACCCUGUUAUUCUAAGUUAUAUUUAGACAGGGUAGUAAAAGUUGUUCUUCAAACCCAAAGAUUUUGGCGGCACUUUAUCCAAAUAGAGGAGCUUGUCCCUUAAUCGAUAGUCCCCGUUUUAUCUUUCCUCUGUUUGUAGAGCUUGUAUACCGCCGUUGUCAGAUCACUUUUAGAGAAUGUUUUCAAGUUAAAAGACUUUUUUACUUCAGGUCAAGGUGCAGUUUAUAUAGAGGUGGAGGUGAGCUACAAUUUUCUUUAGAAAUACGGAUUUCAAGCCUCGAAGCUGGUUGAAGGUGGAUUUAUUAGUAAAGUAA